rnacentral:lncRNA from 1 species
GGGACGCUCACCAUGGAACCUAGCUGAGAGGAAGCCCAGGCAACGUGGUGAUGCCACACAUGGGUAUUCUGCUCAACAGCCCCAGCUAAGGUCCCAGCCAACAGCCAGCUUUGACUACCAGACAUGUGAAUGAAUGAACCUUCAGAUAACUCCAGCCCCACCUUUGAGUCUUUCAGCUGAGCCUCAGACACUAUGAAGCAGACUAGCUGUCCUCAAAAUGCCGUGUGCGAAUUCCUGACCUACAGGAACCAUGAAAAUAAGAACGGUAUAGCCAAAUAUUUGUCCAAAGCAGUUGAGCCAGCAACGUAAGAGAGUUCCAAUUGCUUCCUGUCUUCACCAGCGUUUGGGAAACAUUCUGGUCAGUUGUAACAGUGACUGGAUCAUCCAAUACGCGUUUGUGGAAAGCAGAAUGGCGGAGAGGGACGUGGAAGGAUAGAGAAAGAGACGCAGGAGGGGAAGAAGAAUGCAGCAGCUGUGAUGCAAUUCCAGUCCCAGGCCUUAAGAAGAUCUGGCAGCUUCUGCUUUUGCUCCCUGGGGGAAGCCAGCCCGCUGUGAGCAGUCCAACUAUCCUGAGAGAUCACCUGGAGAGGCCAAGCAGAGGAGAACUGAGGAACCCAGCCAACACCAAGGACUGAAGCCUAGAUAUAUGACCCCACUUGAAUUGUUCCAACCAGACCUCAGCUUUUUGAGCCAUUCCAGCUGAGGCCCCAGACAUCACAGAACAGAGAUGAGCUAUUCCCACCAUGCUCUGAUCAAGUUACUGACCCACAAAGCCAUGUUCCAAUGAAAUGCUGUUUUAAGCCACUAAGUUGUGGGAUAGUUUGUUGCACAGCAAAAGAUACCUGAAACAGGAGAUAUUCACCACGAAAAUGACAAUUCCUUUCAUCAUUCUCAGUUUUUAUUCUCCUUAAAAUAUGCCUGUGGGAAGAAAACAACUCUUAAUACAAG